rnacentral:rRNA from 1 species
UACGUAGGGUGCAAGCGUUGUCCGGAAUUAUUGGGCGUAAAGAGCUCGUAGGCGGUUUGUCGCGUCUGCUGUGAAAACUCGGGGCUUAACUCCGGGCCUGCAGUGGGUACGGGCAGACUAGAGUUCGGUAGGGGAGUCUGGAAUUCCUGGUGUAGCGGUGAAAUGCGCAGAUAUCAGGAGGAACACCGGUGGCGAAGGCGGGUCUCUGGGCCGAUACUGACGCUGAGGAGCGAAAGCGUGGGGAGCGAACAGG